UACGUAGGGUGCGAGCGUUAAUCGGAAUUACUGGGCGUAAAGCGUGCGCAGGCGGUUCGCCAAGUCAGGUGUGAAAUCCCCGGGCUUAACCUGGGAAUGGCAUUCGGGACUGCAAGGCUGGAGUGCGGCAGAGGAGACUGGAAUUCCUGGUGUAGCAGUGAAAUGCGUAGAUAUCAGGAGGAACACCGAUGGCGAAGGCAGGUCUCUGGGCUGACACUGACGCUCAUGCACGAAAGCGUGGGGAGCAAACAGG
rnacentral:rRNA from 1 species